rnacentral:rRNA from 1 species
UUAAGCAUAUCAGUAAGCGGAGGAAAAGAAACUAACAAGGAUUCCCUCAGUAACGGCGAGUGAAGCGGGAAGAGCCCAGCACCGAAUCCCCCGGCCUCUGGCGGCCGUCGGGACCUGUGGUGUUCGGGAAGCGUUCGGUGGGUCGGCGCGCUGCUCUGCGUUCUCCUGAACGAGGCUUCAUCCACGGCGGGUGUAAGGCCUCUACGAGCGGCGGACGGUCAGCCUUUCGCUUCCCCGGAGUCGGGUUGCUUGGGAAUGCAGCCCAAAGCUGGUGGUAAACUCCAUCUAAGGCUAAAUACUGGCACGAAUCCGAUAGCGGACAAGUACCGUGAGGGAAAGUUGAAAAGAACUUUGA